CCUACGGGAGGCAGCAGUGAGGAAUAUUGGUCAAUGGCCGGAAGGCUGAACCAGCCAAGCCGCGUGAAGGACGAAGGUUCCAAGCAUUGUAAACUUCUUUUGUCAAGGGACAAAAUCAGGCUCGAGAGCCUGACCGCGGGUACUUGAAGAAUAAGCAUCGGCUAACUCCGUGCCAGCAGCCGCGGUAAUACGGAGGAUGCGAGCGUUAUCCGGAUUUAUUGGGUUUAAAGGGUGCGUAGGCGGGCUGUUAAGUCAGCGGUAAAAGCCCGGGGCUCAACCAUGGCGAGCCGUUGAAACUGGGUGUCUUGAGAGGGCGAGAGGUAUGCGGAAUGCGCAGUGUAGCGGUGAAAUGCUUAGAUAUUGCGCAGAACUCCGAUUGCGAAGGCAGCAUACCGGCGGCGAUCUGACGCUGAGGCACGAAAGCGUGGGUAUCGAACAGGAUUAGAUACCCGGGUAGUC
rnacentral:rRNA from 1 species